UUUGAUUCAAAAAUUAUUUCC
rnacentral:piRNA from 1 species